UACGGAAGGCAGCAGUGGGGAAUAUUGCACAAUGGGCGCAAGCCUGAUGCAGCCAUGCCGCGUGUAUGAAGAAGGCCUUCGGGUUGUAAAGUACUUUCAGUCGUGAGGAAGGUGUUAAGGUUAAUAACCUUAGCAAUUGACGUUAGCGACAGAAGAAGCACCGGCUAACUCCGUGCCAGCAGCCGCGGUAAUACGGAGGGUGCGAGCGUUAAUCGGAAUUACUGGGCGUAAGGGCACGCAGGCGGUUAAUUAAGUUGGAUGUGAAUCCCCGGGCUUAACCUGGGAAUGGCAUUCAAGACUGGUUAGCUAGAGUCUUGUAGAGGGGGUAGAAUUCCAUGUGUAGCGGUGAAAUGCGUAGAGAUGUGGAGGAAUACCGGUGGCGAAGGCGGCCCCUGGACAAAGACUGACGCUCAUGUGCGAAAGCGUGGGGAGCAAACGAGGAUUAGAUACC
rnacentral:rRNA from 1 species